UUUUUAUGGAGAGUUUGAUCCUGGCUCAGGAUGAACGCUGGCGGCGUGCCUAAUACAUGCAAGUCGAGCGAACAGACGAGGAGCUUGCUUCUCUGACGUUAGCGGCGGACGGGUGAGUAACACGUGGAUAACCUACCUAUAAGACUGGGAUAACUUCGGGAAACCGGAGCUAAUACCGGAUAAUAUAUUGAACCGCAUGGUUCAAUAGUGAAAGACGGUUUUGCUGUCACUUAUAGAUGGAUCCGCGCCGCAUUAGCUAGUUGGUAAGGUAACGGCUUACCAAGGCAACGAUGCGUAGCCGACCUGAGAGGGUGAUCGGCCACACUGGAACUGAGACACGGUCCAGACUCCUACGGGAGGCAGCAGUAGGGAAUCUUCCGCAAUGGGCGAAAGCCUGACGGAGCAACGCCGCGUGAGUGAUGAAGGUCUUCGGAUCGUAAAACUCUGUUAUUAGGGAAGAACAAAUGUGUAAGUAACUAUGCACGUCUUGACGGUACC
rnacentral:rRNA from 1 species